rnacentral:rRNA from 1 species
UACGUAGGGGGCAAGCGUUAUCCGGAUUUACUGGGUGUAAAGGGGGCGCAGACGGCAGCGCAAGCCAGGAGUGAAAGCCCGGGGCCCAACCCCGGGACUGCCCUUGGAACUGCAUGGCUGGAGUGCGGGAGGGGCAGGCGGAAUUCCUGGUGUAGCGGUGAAAUGCGUAGAUAUCAGGAGGAACACCGGCGGCGAAAGCGGCUCUCUGGCCUGUAACUGACACUGAGGCUCGAAAGCGUGGGGAGCAAACAGG